rnacentral:rRNA from 1 species
UUCCCGGAAACGAAAGUCUUCCGGUUCCGGGGGAAGUAUGGUUGCAAAGCUGAAACUUAAAGGAAUUGACGGAAGGGCACCACCAGGAGUGGAGCCUGCGGCUUAAUUUGACUCAACACGGGGAAACUCACCCGGCCCGGACACCGUAAGGAUUGACAGAUUGAUAGCUCUUUCAUGAUUCGGUGGUUGGUGGUGCAUGGCCGUUCUUAGUUCGUGGAUCGAUUUGUCUGGUUUAUUCCGAUAACGAGCGAGACUCUAGCCUACUAAAUAGUAACGAGAUUAUCAAUGUCUCAGUUGCUUCUUAGAGGGAUUUUCGGUGUUUAGCCGCACGAGAUUGAGCAAUAACAGGUCUGUGAUGCCCUUAGAUGUCCGGGGCUGCACGCGCGCUACACUGGCGAAAUCAGCGUGCUGUAUCCAUUCUCGAAAGGGAUUGGUAAACCCAUGAAAAUUUGCCGUGCUUGGGAUCGGAAAUUGCAAUUAUUUUCCGUGAACGAGGAAUUCCAAGUAAGUGCGAGUCAUCAACUCGCUCUGAUUACGUC